rnacentral:rRNA from 1 species
AACGAACGCUGGCGGCGGGGUUUAGGCAUGCAAGUCGAGCGAGAAAGUCUUCGGACGAGUACAGCGGCGUAAGGGUGAGUAAUAGGUAGUUCACGUGCCCUCGUGACGCGAAUAAUUUCCCGAAAGGGAUUGUAAUGCGCGAUGAGACCACAGUUCCCACGGGAACAGAGGUCAAAGGUCGGGGAUCCUUCGGGACCCGGCGCAUGAGGAGCGGACGACCUCCGAUUAGCUAGAUGGCGGGGUAACGGCCCACCAUGGCGAUGAUCGGUAGCCGGCCUGAGAGGAUGUACGGCCACACUGGGACUGAGACACUGCCCAGACUCCUACGGGAGGCUGCAGUCGCGAAUCAUUCACAAUGGACGCAAGUCUGAUGAUGCCACG